rnacentral:misc_RNA from 1 species
CCUCUGAUGCUGUUGAGAAGUUCAGCAACAGGUAUUGUGGUGGCACUUUCUCAUUGGAUUAGGGGAAGUGUAGUGUUCCUAUAUAAUUAGGAUUAGAGAAACUGCAUGUGCAGCAAAUAAUGAGGAUUAGACGUUAGAGGAACUGCUUUGGACUAGCAUAUUUGGAUUAGGUACUUGUAUUUUUAUCAAUGAUGUUCUGUUUCUUCUUUCAUUGCUUUACACGUGUAGAGGCAUGGUAUAGAUUUUUGUAAUACUGAGGUCCAAAACUAAAUAUUCGUUUCUGUUGUGUGCGUGUGUAUGUAUACACAUGUAUAUUUUUUAAUGAUGAUUCCAGGCAUGUUAACAUGCUAAAAAUACAAGUACCUAAUCCAAAU